rnacentral:tRNA from 1 species
GCCCUUUCAGCUCAGUGGUCGAGCGUUGGCGUCAAAAGCCACAGAUCGGUGGUUCAAACUCACCCGGGCGCA